rnacentral:rRNA from 1 species
UGUCCUACGGGGGGCAGCAGUGGGGGAUAUUGCACAAUGGGGGGAACCCUGAUGCAGCGACGCCGCGUGGGUGAAGGAGCGUUUCGGCGCGUAAAGCCCUAUCGGCAGGGAAGAAGAUGACGGUACCUGACCAAGAAGCCCCGGCUAACUACGUGCCAGCAGCCGCGGUAAUACGUAGGGGGCAAGCGUUAUCCGGAUUUACUGGGUUUAAAGGGUGCGUAGGCGGAAUGCCAAGUCAGCGGUAAAACCGCGGGGCUCAACCUCGCUCCGCCGUUGAA